UGUAAGCAUGCAGCGUACGCUGGCACAGUGCCGAGCGAACGCAGUCCUCUUUACCGAAACGCACCACGCCAAUCAUCUCAUCCUCUUCGAAGCGCGCCAGCGCAUCGGCAAGGCCAGAUUGGACGCUGGCGGGCAGGUCGCACUGGGUGACAUCACCGUUUACAAUCACGGUGACGUUUUCGCCCAAGCGGGUC
rfam:Plautia stali symbiont DNA, complete genome.